rnacentral:misc_RNA from 1 species
CAGAGUUAUCCAACUCCCAAAACCAUGUGAACUUACCUAUGUUGCCUCGGCGGGAAAGCCUACCCGGCAGCUACCCUGUAGUUGCAAGGCCUACCCGCCGGCGGACCAUCCAAACUCUUGUCUUUAUAUUGGCACUUCUGAGUUAUUAUACUUAAUAAGUUA